rnacentral:rRNA from 1 species
UACGUAGGGGGCAAGCGUUGUCCGGAAUCAUUGGGCGUAAAGCGCGUGUAGGCGGCCCGAUAAGUCCGCUGUGAAAGUCCAGGGCUCAACCCUGGAAUGCCGGUGGAUACUGUCGGGCUCGAGUCCGGAAGAGGCGAGUGGAAUUCCUGGUGUAGCGGUGAAAUGCGCAGAUAUCAGGAGGAACACCAAUGGCGAAGGCAGCUCGCUGGGACGGUACUGACGCUGAGACGCGAAAGCGUGGGAGCAAACAGG